UUGUGCGUCCACAACACCAAUUCAUAUAUAUAUAUGCAUCAAUUUCAAUUCAUAUAAUUCAUAAUAUGCAUGCAUGGUGUUUGAAAACAUACUUUCAUAUAAAUUCAAUUUCUGGGAAAAUUAAUAGUAUAUAGAUAUGUACUGAAAAUAAAACUGCCCACUCACCUGGAGUUUGCCCAACAACUCCCUAGCACCACAUAU
rnacentral:lncRNA from 1 species